rnacentral:rRNA from 1 species
CCUACGGGAGGCAGCAGUGAGGAAUAUUGGUCAAUGGACGAGAGUCUGAACCAGCCAAGUAGCGUGAAGGAUGACUGCCCUAUGGGUUGUAAACUUCUUUUAUAUGGGAAUAAAAUGUUCCACGUGUGGGAUUUUGUAUGUACCAUAUGAAUAAGGAUCGGCUAACUCCGUGCCAGCAGCCGCGGUAAUACGGAGGAUCCGAGCGUUAUCCGGAUUUAUUGGGUUUAAAGGGAGCGUAGGUGGAUUGUUAAGUCAGUUGUGAAAGUUUGCGGCUCAACCGUAAAAUUGCAGUUGAAACUGGCAGUAUUGAGUACAGUAGAGGUGGGCGGAAUUCGUGGUGUAGCGGUGAAAUGCUUAGAUAUCACGAAGAACUCCGAUUGCGAAGGCAGCUCACUGGACUGUAACUGACACUGAGGCUCGAAAGCGUGGGGAGCAAACAGGAUUAGAUACCCGAGUAGUC